GGUUGUGGCUCAGUGGUAGAGCGCUUGCCUAGCAUGUGCGAAGUGCUGGGUUCGAUCCUCAGCACUG
rnacentral:tRNA from 1 species